GGAGCUUUACUGUAGCUUGACAUUGGGUCUUGGUACUACAUGUACAGGAUAGGUGGGAGGCUUUGAAACCAGGACGCCAGUUUUGGCGGAGCCAUCCUUGGGAUACCACCCUUGUAGUACUGGGACUCUAACCAUAGGCCAUGAAUCUGGUCUUGGGACACUGUCAGGUGGGCAGUUUGACUGGGGCGGUCGCCUCCCAAAAGGUAACGGAGGCGCUCAAAGGUUCUCUCAGUACGGUCGGAAAUCGUACGUAGAGUGUAAAGGCAAAAGAGAGCUUGAUUGCAAGACAUACAGGUCGAGCAAGGAUGAAAAUCGGACUUAGUGAUCCGGUGGUUCUGCGUGGAAGGGCCAUCGCUCAACGGAUAAAAGCUACCCUGGGGAUAACAGGCUUAUCUCCCCCAAGAGUCCACAUCGACGGGGAGGUUUGGCACCUCGAUGUCGGCUCAUCACAUCCUGGGGCUGUAGUAGGUCCCAAGGGUUGGGCUGUUCGCCCAUUAAAGUGGUACGCGAGCUGGGUUCAGAACGUCGUGAGACAGUUCGGUCCCUAUCCGUCGCAGGCGUAGGAAAUUUGAGAAGACCUGUCC
rnacentral:rRNA from 1 species